UUGUUGUUGAUGUGACCGCGUGUCCACAAACCUGGGAUUCCCUCGCCCUCAGAUUCCAGAAUCCAAUUUCUUGGAUUUCAGUGUUUUUAAGUUACAGACAUGGGGAGGAGCAAGUUUGGAAGCCUCAACUGUCACCAUCAGGGAGAGCUGGGGCCACAGCUAGGAGACAGGAGGACCUCUAGUCAGAGCUGCUGGUGCUUCAGGGAUGGAAGACUCACAUGCUACAGGCUUGACCUGCCUUCAAGGGAACAAGCUUUGCACUACAGAGCAAAAGAGCAAGCUUAAAAUGGCCGUUGGAGGAGAAAGACCACAAGAGAAAGACCACAAGAGGGGGAGAAUGGUGUGUGUGUGUGUGUGUGUGUGUUUGUGUUUAUCUAGGAUGGUAUAAUUUUGCUCAUUGAAAUAAGAAAAUU